CCUGGCGGGGGGUCAAGUCCGUUCCCGCUGGGGACAAGUGCAACCGCCAACUCCUAGCCCUGUUCCAGGAGCGCGGAAUGACCCUCAGCCCUGGGGUCCCCCUCUCCCCGCCUCCCAGCAGUGCUGGGCCAUCGGUCUGGCUCCAGGUGGCUGCUCAGGCUCAGGAGGGCAGCUGCACCGGGUUUCCCUGCUACCCGGGACAGGUAUGGACCGGGCCCACGGAGAAGGAAGGGUUUCCUCAAAGCCCGUCUUGGAGGCUCCGCCUGAGAAAAAGUACACCUUCUCUCCAAGCUGCUCCGAGUGGACUCUGAUGGGCCGGAAAAGACUGGAGCGCAAAGCCCUUGCUUUUCAGGAGUGAAGUGGCUUCCACCCAGGUCUCCCCUCCCCGCAGCGCCAUGCGCAGGUUAUUUUGUGUCCUUACAAUUUAACGUUUGAAGAGACUUCCUGUCUUUGAAGUACAGUGGUUUGUCACCUGUUUGGCUAGUCCCCUCGACAGCUGAAGCUCUGUUUCUCUUAUGAAAGAUUCUACAACUCCAGAUCCAGGCUGAAGUCUCUGGGAUCCCAGAGCACAGUGGUCCCUGAGGCUCCGGGACUCCAUUCUGCAAGUCAGCCCCCGAGGGCCCCUGCUCCAAGCUUCAUUCCUCUAGGUCCAAGAGCAUAGGAGCCAUACACUCACCUGGAUGAAGCCGUAAAGAGCAUUCCAUUGCCUAGAUGUACCACCGUUAAUUAGCUCAUCAACUGAAUGACAUCUUCAUUGCUUCCAGGUUUUGGCAAUCACGAAUAAAGUGCCAUGGUGGGAAUUUUCUGUGGCCACAUUUUAUUUUUAACUAUUUACUUAAUGACUGUCUUUUCCGUAACACUUCAAACUUCUCAGCU